CAAGUCGCACGAGAAAGUGUAGCAAUCCAUGAGUACAGUGGCGUACGGGUGAGUAACACGUGGGUAAUCUACCUCUUAGUGGGGAAUAACCCUGGGAAACCGGGGCUAAUACCGCAUAAUCUCGAGAGAGGAAAGCAGCAAUGCGCUGAGAGAGGAGCCCGCGGCCGAUUAGCUUGUUGGCAGGGUAAAAGCCUACCAAGGCAUAGAUCGGUAGCCGGCCUGAGAGGGCACACGGCCACACUGGCACUGAAACACGGGCCAGACUCCUACGGGAGGCAGCAGUGGGGAAUCUUGCACAAUGGGGGCAACCCUGAUGCAGCGACGCCGCGUGAGCGAUGAAGCCCUUCGGGGUGUAAAGCUCUUUCGUCAGGGAAGAUUAUGACGGUACCUGGAGAAGCAGCUGCGGCUAACUACGUGCCAGCAGCCGCGGUAAUACGUAGGCAGCGAGCGUUGUUCGGAGUUACUGGGCGUAAAGGGUGUGUAGGCGGUUGUUUAAGUUUGGUGUGAAAUCUCCCGGCUCAACUGGGAGGGUGCGCCGAAUACUGAAUGACUCGAGUGCGGGAGAGGAGAGUGGAAUUCCUGGUGUAGCGGUGAAAUGCGUAGAUAUCAGGAGGAACACCGGCGGUGUAGACGGCUCUCUGGACCGUAACUGACGCUGAGACACGAAAGCGUGGGUAGCAAACAGGAUUAGAUACCCUGGUAGUCCACGCCCUAAACGAUGCAUAUUUGGUGUGGGUCAUUCAGUUGAUCCGUGCCGGAGCUAACGCGUUAAAUAUGCCGCCUGGGGAGUACAGUCGCAAGGCUGAAACUCAA
rnacentral:rRNA from 1 species